rnacentral:rRNA from 1 species
GACGAACGCUGGCGGCGUGCUUAACACAUGCAAGUCGAACGGAAAGGCCUGCUUUCCCUUGUGGAUUGCGGGUACUCGAGUGGCGAACGGGUGAGUAACACGUGAGUGAUCUGCCCCCAACUUGGGUAUAAGCCUGGGAAACUGGGUCUAAUUCCCGAUAGGACUGCAGGGUGGUGCCUGUGGUGGAAAACGAUUUUCUAGUGGUUGGGGAUGAGCUCGCGGCCUAUCAGCUUGUUGGUGGGGUAAUGGCCUACCAAGGCGGCGACGGGUAGCCGGCCUGAGAGGGUGGACGGACACAUUGGGACUGAGAUACGGCCCAGACUCCUACGGGAGGCAGCAGUGGGGAAUAUUGCACAAUGGGCGGAAGCCUGAUGCAGCGACGCCGCGUGGGGGAUGACGGCCCUCGGGUUGUAAACUCCUUUCGACCGCGAGGAAGCCACCUGGUUGGAAGGGUGGUGACGGUAGUGGUAGAAGAAGCACCGGCUAACUACGUG